GACAGUGACGGAUACUUCAUAUCCAGCGGGGAAGUUGAACUUGUGCAAACUUACGACAAAGUAGAAAAUAAUAAAAAUCGAGGCUAUCAAGGUCAAAAAUCUGCCAUAAACAGACGGGUGAUCGCAUCGCAUACAAAUCCUACCUACGGUGCUUAUGAUGCUCUGGGAGACUAAGAGUUGGAAAUCUUCUGAUCAUGGCGCAUGCGUUUGAGCAUUUCAUUAAACAGCUUUAGUCAAACUCUAGUAGAAAUAGAGCGGAACAUAGACCAUUACUCUUGGUUUGUGGUAGUUACUUUUCCAAAGAAUUUGAAGGUGUUUGCUAUGGCGCUGUAGAUAGUUUGUCUUCAUGCAGUACCUCGAUGGUACAGUGACUCGAAGGGUUGCUUGCUACAUUAGAACGUGGAUGGGGUUCAGAUCCGCGUGUAACAUGACAUAGCAUAAAUUGCAUUUUGUAGGAUUGAAAUUUAUGACGAAGAGAACAUAGAGAUUGAUAAAAAUGAACAGUUUUUCUAUAUUGCUAGAGUAAAAAUAAAUUUUUUCGCUGACAAGGGCAUUUAUUAAUAAAACCGUACCAUUGCAUUUCACAA